UACGUAGGGUGCAAGCGUUAAUCGGAAUUAUUGGGCGUAAAGGGCUCGUAGGCGGUCUGUCGCGUCGGGAGUGAAAACUCAGGGCUUAACCCUGAGCCUGCUUCCGAUACGGGCAGACUAGAGGUAUGCAGGGGAGAACGGAAUUCCUGGUGUAGCGGUGAAAUGCGCAGAUAUCAGGAGGAACACCGGUGGCGAAGGCGGGUCUCUGGGCAGUAACUGACGCUGAGGAGCGAAAGCGUGGGGAGCGAACAGG
rnacentral:rRNA from 1 species